rnacentral:sRNA from 1 species
UUACUUUGACCUGGGGCUCUAUCAAAGC